GGGGCUGUAGCUCAGUGGCAGAGCGCUUGCUUUGCAAGUAUGAGGCCCUGGGUUCGAUCCUCAGCACCA
rnacentral:tRNA from 1 species